UAAUUUUUAGUGGCAUUUAAUUAGGGGCAUUUGUAUUAAUGUCGGUAAAAUUAUACAGCGGGUCAAAAGUUUCACACAAAUUACGGCAUUUAUAUUAAUUGCCACUAAAAUGAUAUAUGUGCUGGCAUUUGUAAUAAAUGAUGGGAUAUAGUCAUCGUUAUGCCGUAAAUAGUAUAUUUAUUUUAAAAAUUAUUUUUCAGUUCCCUCCUUUUUAGUUUUGUCUUUUCGUUCCCUCCAUUUUUUUUUUGAUGAAAACUACCCUCCAUUACUAAUAAACUUUUAGGUUUCCUAUCAACCACUUCUCAAAAGAAAAAAAAACUUAAACCUAAAUUAUACUUUGCCCCCUUUCAAUUGUUUAAAUUGACGACAAUCUAUGAAGAUUCGAUCUGGAAUCACUCAGACGACCAAUUGUUUCCGCCCUAGGCUGCCGAUGCCGGCACAUUGAAGAGUGAAGAAGGUGAAAAAACGAUGAAGAAGGGUCCCUUUUAACCAAAGUUUCUCCCAUCAUUGUUGGUAAAAUGGAUUACGAAAUCCAUGAACAAGGAAUAUUGUGACUUUUGAAACCUAAUCUUUUCAUUCCUGUUUGCUAUUUUAUAUUUGGGUUCUUAUUGUUUCCCUUAAGUUUGUAGAUGGAAGGUUUUGUUUUACCAGGUUCCGAGUCUACUGUUAGCUUCAUAGACAAAUAUAUUAUCAGGAAGAAGAAAACCAAAAAAUCUUCAAGUUCUAAGAAGUGAUCUUCUGUGGAAGAUAAGGGGAAGGAUGUUUGUUGUGACCAAAAAUCGAACUUUGAGCACUCGUAGUUGCUGAAAAACUAAGAAUAACAAAGCUUCAUUUGAAGCAAAGAGUAAAAGAAGACCAGAGUACUUGAAGAACAUAGCAUAUAAUAAUUGAAGACUUGGAGGAGCAUCUAUUCAUCCUAUUAUAGAGUUUAUGAAGCUGAUUCAUAUUUCCAAUUGUCCUUUUACUGUUGAUUUUCAGUUAUGUGGUUACUUUUAUUUGUAAAUAUACAAUUUUUUUAUUAUCAAAAUUGACUAUAUAUUAUGUAGUAAAAGAAUGUGGUUCCUUUUAUCAUCUGAAAUGACUAUAAAUUUGCAAUUUUUGAUUGUUAUAGGCUAAUUAAAGUUUUCUUUUUUAAA